rnacentral:rRNA from 1 species
AGAGUUUGAUCCUGGCUCAGAUUGAACGCUGGCGGCAUGCCUUACACAUGCAAGUCGAACGGCAGCACGGGGGCAACCCUGGUGGCGAGUGGCGAACGGGUGAGUAAUAUAUCGGAACGUACCCAGUAGUGGGGGAUAACUAUCCGAAAGGAUAGCUAAUACCGCAUACGAUCUGUGGAUGAAAGCAGGGGAUCUUCGGACCUUGUGCUAUUGGAAUGGCCGAUAUCUGAUUAGCUAGUUGGUAGGGUAAAAGCCUACCAAGGCGACGAUCAGUAGCUGGUCUGAGAGGACGACCAGCCACACUGGAACUGAGACACGGUCCAGACUCCUACGGGAGGCAGCAGUGGGGAAUUUUGGACAAUGGGGGCAACCCUGAUCCAGCAAUGCCGCGUGAGUGAAGAAGGCCCUCGGGUUGUAAAGCUCUUUUGUCAGGGAAGAAACGGUGGUCGCUAAUAUCGG